ACGACCUUGUAUAUCUAUUAAACAAUAUUCUUAAUAGUUAAUAUAUCCAUGGGGCACAGAAUUUUAAAGAAAUAAGAUGGUACAUAUAUGUAAAAUUUCCCUUCCUUCUACCCCUGUGCCCCUGCUGUUUAUUCUGGAAGCAACUAAUGCUACCUAUUUCUUUUGUAUGGACACGACUGCUUUGUAAAAUAGAUAGUGUCCCAGUACUGGUUUGAUAGUAAUGGAGAAGAGAAAGAUUAAUGACAGAGACAUCAGUUUGGCAAUCACUGCAAAAGUCCAGGUGAUGAAAUGAGGCAUUAAGUAGAGUAGUUACUCUGAAUAUAAGAGACUCUAAAAAGACACUUCAUCAUCCUUUAUUCCCCUCCAGUAUGUUUACAGAUGGCACGGUAGGAGUCCAAGAUGACUGAAAUUUUGCCUUGAGACUUGAGGAAUGCGCAUAAAGAAGAGCAGAGCGAGGAACACAGAAUUCCUUCCAGAUGGGCUUCGGGAGGCAACCACUGGGCUCUGUUACGCACUGAUAUUUGGAAAGAGAAAGUACACAUCGACUGCAACUUGUCUAUUAACAUCCUGUGAAAACUACCAAAAGAAGGGAUCAGCUACCUGUGCAUCUUGGGGCAGUCAGCCAAUCUACUUUUUUCUCCAAAACUGAAGCAGUUCUUGAGGGAAGGAAACAGCUCUGCACAUCCUGUAAAGGUGGCAGGAUUCCACCAUCACAUUUUGAAAGGAUUUUCCAAGGAAGCCUGGGUGCAAAAAAUUUCAAAGAAACUCCUUUCUUCACAGUGAACAUAAAUUAAAAAAAGAAAGAAAGAAAGAAAGAAAGCCAAAGGGAAAGAAGAAUAACUACAAAGGCCCAUGGUCCAUAUAUUUCAUGAGGAUCUAGAUCCAUUUUUAAUUCGGCAGCGUCAUACAAUGAACAUUUACACAGCUCUGCUCCCAGAACCUAAACAUGCCGAAUGAUUUUAUUUGUGUCUCAUCACUGGAGUAAGAAAGACCAUGUAAUCAGAAACCAUUGGCGUCGGAAGAGACCCUCUGAAAGUCAUGAAGACCAGACUCUCAUUCCAAGUUUGCUU